ensembl:lncRNA
GCAGUGUUUGAGCAAAAUGGAUAUUUUAUAUCCCAAGGGAUAUAAAAUCACGAAAUCAUCAGUUGUCGAUACCACUACUAUGUGAAAUCCACAUAAAUGAGUACUUUUUUAUUUUUAUUAUUAUUUUUUUUUUUUUUAAGAAAAAUAAGUCUUGCUGGAACAAACAUGCUGACCUUCACUGCUCUGGGGGACUACAAACCAAAGUAAAACAAGGGGCUGGCAAAGACGUGGUGCUCCCUAGUCUUAAUGCAAUAGAACACAGUGGAACCCACUGGAGUAGUGUGAAAUUCAGAAGCGUGUGGUCGGGCUGGAACAUUGUGUGCUGGCUGGCAGAUGUUUGGAAAGGUGCUAAAAUGUAACUUAACAUCCAUAGAAUUUGCUGUUAAACACUUGCAAGAUACAAAGUGACAGCCAGCUGGAUGAAUAGGAGAAUGUAUUCAAACACCUAGGGUUAACAGACCCAGGACAGUGCAUCUGGCUUGAACAGGGCACUGAGAGUAAGCUCAGACAAUGUUUAUACAUGCUUUUAGUAUUCAAAUUAAUUUCUGCGGGGACACGACUUAGUUAAGGUGAGCUAUACAAAAUUCAUCUUAUUUCCCUUCACAUUCCAUUCCAUAUUUAAUGCAUGUUACAAGAGAGAUACUUCACUCUGCUUCAUUACUUUAAUCACUGUCCUGUCCUACUGUAGUUCAACAACGCGUGCAAGUGUACUCUUCUUGUUAGAGGCACGGUCUAGAGAAGACGGCCAGGGAGCUGAACAGCAUUUCUAUUUCAGCUGCUGAAGCGUCCAGUAACUUUGGAUGUCACCUAAACCUUCAGAUGAAAUCCUUCCAGGCAUUCUCGUGAGCACCAGUAAAUAGCAGUAUACCAUAACUACCAUUGCUAAUGUGGGGCAAGCACUCCAAAGUGCACUUAGAGAAGAAUGUAUUCAAAUAUGGCAUAUAUGAAAAGUUUAUUUUAAUAUUUUAGACAGCUAGAUGAAAUGCUGGGGUCUUAGUGCAUUUUGCACUAAGGCAGUCCAGGCUUCUGAAAAUCUUAGGGAAAUAUUUGGAAAUGAAUUUUAUCUUCACAACUGUGAUACACUUACAAGGCGGGGAUGUUUCACCCUUCUCAACAAGGUACCUGCAUUGAUGAUGGUCUGUAAAUGACUCUAGAACUGACAAAAGUCUGCAAACAUUUUCUUGGGUUCUGAUUUUUAGUUUUAUUUGUUUUAACAGUGAGAUAAAACAAACAAACAAACAAACAAACAAAAAAAACAUUGUCCAUGUCCUUGCUCUGUGGGUUUGGGAUGUAUUGUGUUUGUUUGUUUCUUCUUCUUCUUCUUCUUCUUCUUUUUUUUUUUCCUUGGAAGUAAAACAGGAUAGGAUAUUGGUAAUAAGGGCAAGUGGAUUUAUUGCUGAGCAAGUUGUAUGCUGUUUGGCAGAAAAUUCCUGAACUGGUCGGUGUUGGUGGUAGUUGGUGCUGCCUCCCAAUGUUUUCUGAGUCUUUUAUUUAGUUUGGAGUUCUGGGAAGUAUUUGUUGGCUUAAUCCAUUUACGCUUUUGAUAGGUAAGUGCAUUCCAUGAGUGAUGAUAGAUUAUUGCUAAGAAAAGAUAAACAGAAGAAUGGAUGUUUUAUUUUACUAUGUAUCCUGGGAAAAAGUUGUUCUUUCUUUCAGAUUAUAACCCUGCCCUAUUUACAACCUAUUUACAGGACCAGACUUUUUAAUAUAUUUACUUAUUUAUUUCUGUAUUUAUUGUAAUUAAAGCCAAAGUAAACAAUACUUUUUCAGUCUUCUGUAUUUACUGAGUACCUUCCCAAAAGUGCUAAUAAGGACUACUGUUUCGAACAAGAACAAACGAGAAGGAAAUCUGUCAGUUUAAAUUCAGCUGAUGUCAGGAAUUCCACAUGCCUAUGCGUUUAUUUUCAUCCAUCUGGUUAUCAUUGCAGAGGAUUCCCUGAAGGGAACCUUUUCCUUGCAGCAGAUGAGAGCCAUUUCUGCUAUUGCUACAGCCUGUUUUGGCAUCGCCCAUCAGUGGGAGCACCAUACGUUCUGUGUCCAUCAUUGUUGCCUCCAUAGCCUCAGUUUAGACCACAGUUACACUGAGAAAGAACAUAGCCAAGGACAGAACAAAAUGAAUUCAGCAAACACACUGCAAGGCAGAGCCAUUAGGUGAGCAUUUCCAACCAUGGUGUGUAAAUGAGUUACAAAACACAAGCAGCUCUAUAAAACAAGAACAUCCUGAGUUGACAAAUAAAUGGUAUUCUUCCUAGAUCAGGUAUCAGCUUCUUUCACCCUUCUCCCUCAAUAAUGGUAUCUUGAAGCUCAGAAGAGAUUUUUGUGUAUGAGCAGAGAUGGGAGGUGUCACUGUGAAGAAGUCCUUAGAUAUUUAUUUAUUUAUUUUUAAAUUACAUUUGUGGGCAUCUACAGCUCAGGAAGGAACACCUGAUGUGUACGUGCUGUUAAAAGAUACACUGAAAUUGAAGAAAUGGGUUCCGCACAAGCACUGUUUGUGAAGUGAGAUCACCUGUGGGGCAGCUCUGCCUGAAGGAACGGGCGGCACCACCUGCGAGAGGUGCGGUGACCUUCAGGUGACCCCAGCCGUGACCUUCAGGUGACCCCGCCCCGUCCGCCCACAACGAGAAAGGGAGGGAACGCUCAGGUGAGAAGAAAAAGCGGCGGGAAGCCAUAAAGGCGGGAAGCGACAGCGGCGUUCUGGGCUGCGAUUGGCUGACGGGCAGCCCGAACAUCUAUAUAAGGUGCGCGGGCGGAGAAGUGAGAGAUGCGAUCUCUUCAGCGUGAGAAGAAACGGGAUGCUGGGAGGGAACGGCGGCAGCGACGACGACGACGACGAGCGGUCUCCAGAACUGACCUGAGGAGCUGCUGCAGAAGGAAGAAGAAGAAGCGGCGUGGGGACCUGGGAGGCAGGAGCAAGCAAGAAGAGGAAGCGGAAGCGUGCAGAUGCGGGGGGGAAGGAGAGAGGCUCCCUGGGCAAAGCACCUGUCCCGUUAGCAGGGGCACAGUCACGUUUGAGUUGAGAGCUGCCGGCGCCUUUGGUGACCAGGCUGGCGUUGUGCUGGGCGACCUCCCCGUAAGCGGGGCUCGGGUCUUUGCUGUAGUUGGCCUUUUGCCUUGCUGCUCCUUUGGCUGCCUGGGGAGCGUGGCCCCCUGUAACGGAGGGCGAGAGCCACCUCUCCGCACCUGAGUGGGAAAUGGAGCUCGCCGGACCCCAGGCCACCCUGUAAGCAGGGUAGUGCCGUUUCCCUGCCCCUCUUCCUCCCCCGGCCCCUCGGCAUCGUUGCCUGAUGGUGGCUUGUCAAUGCGACGGCCCCGUACUCGGGGUGUGCGUCACGGCAUUUGGCCGUUGGCUUUACCUGAGAAGCCCCUUGGCACGUUGAGGUCUGUGGCCUCCGUGCAGCCUAGGGACAGGUCACAGGCUCUUGUCUGUUGCCCGUGGUUGUGGGUUUAUUCCCAGGUGUUGGCUGUGCUGCGUUGUCCUUCCCUUCUGGAAAGUCGUGCCUGUGUGUGCGUGUUCCCCUUCCUUUCCUUGUUUGUGUUUGUGGAGUGGUUGAGCGGCUGUGCUUUCCCUUUAGGCCUCCACAAAGAUGGCUGCAGCUUAGCUUUGACUUCCCAGGGGGGAAUGGAGGACUUUGGUGCAUGCCGCAAAAGGGGUGUUCCCUCUUAGUCCUGCGAGCGCAGCGAGUGUCCUGUCUUCCUACUACUUUCCUUAGUGCAGAUCAGAGCCACACGGUAGUUCUGUGGCCAAGGCCUCCCUGUAGCCAGGGCUUGGGCCUGUCCUUGCGUGGCCGCCUGUCCUGCUGGCGGCGGUGACAGCCCCGUACUCGGGGUGUGUGUCCCAAGCUUCGGAGCCCUCUGUCCCUGAGCAGCCCGCCCGCCCUGUAAUCAGGUGUGGGGAGGCUGCAGCGUUGCAGCCGGCUGCUUUAGCCAUCCAGCUGGUGGGAGUGACCCCUCCCUGUCCCGUCAGAGGGUGCAGGUUGAGGUGCUGUUUGUGUGUGGGGUGACCUCCCCGCUCGGUGGGUCGAGGUAGCUCCCUGGGCUUCCAAAGACGAG